AGAAUCAACGCUGGCGGCGUGCCUAACACAUGCAAGUCGAACGCGAAAGUGGAGCAAUCCAUGAGUAGAGUGGCAAACGGGUGAGUAACGCGUGGGCGACCUACCUCAGAGUGGGGGAUAACAUUCCGAAAGGAGUGCUAAUACCGCAUGACAUCCUGCCUUUAGAUAGGUGGAGAUCAAAGCCGGGGAUCGCAAGACCUGGCGCUUGGAGAGGGGCCCGCGUCCGAUUAGCUAGUUGGUGAGGUAACGGCUCACCAAGGCUCCGAUCGGUA
rnacentral:rRNA from 1 species